rnacentral:rRNA from 1 species
CCAUUCCGAACACGAAGGUUAAGCUUUACAGUGCUGAUGGUACUGCACGGGAGACUGUGUGGAAGAGUAGGUCGUCGCCAGGU